CACCCCUCUUCACUGAACCUCAGCUCCACCUCCAUCCUGAGGAGCUUCGGGAAUCACACCAAUCUUGUAGGCUGGGCCAGGAAGCAUUGGCCCAAUGUGCAAUGGAUGACAGGAAUCUGUCCACUUUCCAUGCCUGUUGCCCGCCACACCAGUGGGUGUCUGUCCCUGUCUCAGGCAUUCCACGGAGGGCCACAUGCUGGCCUGUCCCAUGGGUGCUUCUCAAUAUCGUGAGGGUUUGAAGGGCUAGAAUAAUACUUAGGGAAGAGCCAGGCCAGUUGGUUACCCAUGCAGUUCCUAGUAUCUGAGGUGAGACUGCCCAUGAUGGGUUUCUAUUCUUAAUGCCAGUACAAUGCAUGGUCACCUCUCUUUGUCACUGGCUCUUCCUAUGAGCCUGGGCAUCAGAGGAGGGACAUACUUUGCUGACCCACUGGACACAGCUGAUGGUCAAGCUGGGUCAUUGUGGCCCAAAGCAUCACAUCUCCUGAGGUGGGGGUUGGGAAGUGUAGGAAGAAGCAUCCUACAUGGAGUCCGGGCUGGUGGUACCUGAAGUACUUUUUGUCUCUGGGACAUUUGCUUUCUAGCCGACGGCUAUCCCACGGCCUGCUUCUUUCCUGUGCCACAUCCUACCCUAGACCAUUUCUACUUUGAGACGUUGAUGCCAGCAACAGAAGCCUUUGUGUUGGUUGGCUCUCCAGUCUGUGUGUGAGACCAUCCCUUAGCCUGUCAUGUCCUCAGGGCCACCCUGUUGGAAACAGCACAGAAUGUCCUCCUGAGUCUAUGAGGCAGUGAUGCCCAAGCUCUGUCCCUGCAUCUUGCGCACAGGGGUCCCAGCAGGGGUUAGCCUGUACUUCUUCAUGUUUUCUCCAACUUUAUACUCUGGCUCCAUCUGACCAUAGCGGCUUGACCUGGAGACUCAGGGACCCCAGAAAGUAGCUGAUCAUGCCCAGUUGGAGCCUUUGAAAGACAGACUGUAGAUUUUUGGUAUUUAGUAAGGCUCCCCGGGGUGGCAAAGCUUUCUUUCUGAUUAGGCUUGCUCCCGGUGCUUCAUCCCUGCUCCCCUCACCCUGGCAAUUCUACCAUGCAUGCUUUUUCUCCUCUUCUGGGCCUUCCUCAGCAGCAAAAUGCUCUUCCAACAGAGAUAGUGGCUGCGCACCAUGGCUUAAGAGUUCUUCCUCUGGUUCAGGAUGGUCUACCUGCGCCACUGGUCCUGGUUGCUAUCUCCCCCGAAGCCCAGCCCUCUUCCUUGGCCCUUAGCAUGUACUCCCUUUCACAGAGUUCAGGACUCCAAGGGAGAUAGUGUUCCCUGAGUGACACUGCAGGCAGCUGACACCACAAUCCAGCUCCUUUCUUUGUGAUACACCCUCACACUGCUUGUUAGCUAUGGCUCCCCAGGUGCCUGCUAUCCCAAAUUGCCUAAUACUGCCUACAUGUUCCCAACCUCUCCCUGACCCCCACCCCACCCCCCCAAAAAGGCUAUAAGAUUUCCCAAGACAGAGGGGGACCUUUCCUUUGCACCUUUUUCCCUCCCUCUCCUUCCCUCUCCCUUCCCUCCCUCCCUCCUUACCUUCUUUCUUCCCUUCCCUCCCUCCCGUCUUACUUGCUUGACUUAUCCUCUGCUGUAUUCUAAGCCUUAGGAUCCAGGCCAGGUCUAUAGUGACAGAAUAAUGGAGUGUGCUGAUUGACUAAUAGAGUCCCCAAAGGCAGAAACCAUAUUAGGUUAAUCCCCAGGAAAGUGGUGAGCAUGAAGCAGGAAUUUCAUAAGAUGUGGUGGCUGAUUCCAUAAAUAUGGAAGCUGGGUUCGAACAGCCUUUGCAUUUGUUAGAGGCCUCCUGCCCCAGCAUGUCACUGAGUUCUGAGACUUGCUGCAGUAGGGCAGAGACCCGUCAGCUAGGUCUGUGGGCUUUUCUUUCCUUCUGUAGCUGGGGUCUCAUGCUAGGCUUCAAGUUCAGCUGAGCACAACCCCCACCCUCCACUCCAUGAAUGUCUGUGGCAGUGAGCCAGAGGCCCCUUGGCGGCCCUUGUGCAGCAGGCCUGAGCUGCUGUCAGGGCUAAUAUUUUAUGCAUGGACCUAAGUAAAUGGGAACAUUUGGAGAUGGAAAUUGCUGUUAAUGACACAUCUUUGGAAUAUAUUAAACGCGUGCAAGAAGGCUGCCGAUCUCUCCAUUUAAUUGCUCCAAUGUAAGCGCAGCCACACCACAGCAUGCACAGAUAGGCUACCCCUAGUCUCUUCACCACUCAUGGGGAAAGCCCCAGGUACCUCACCCACCAAGGGAGUAUUAUGUACAAGAUGGAAUGUCAGCUGGGGUGCCAAGCAAUCACCGACACACACACUCCAAAUUCAUUGGAGACCCUAGAGGAUGAGCCCUCCUACUUGGUGCAGACUUUUAUUAAAAGCAAAAUUACUAGAUUUACUUGAGGAGAAGAAAAGGCAAAUAAAAGACUUUUCUCAUCCAGUGAGUCAAGUGAAAAUAUCUGUCCCUCAGGCAGGCAGGAGGAAAGCCUGGUGGGGGGGACCUUCAGAGGUCAGAGAAUUCACCAGCUCCAAGAUAGUGUGUCAACCCAGUGUGCCAAGGUCACAGAACACAGACUAUUUCUCUGUGCCAGUUAGCCUAUUCCAUAGUUCCUUGGGAUGUGUUUAGACUAAGCCAAUGGUCUGUUCCUUUACUAUUUUCAAGGAGAUGGUAUGUGUGUGUGUGUGUUUGUGUGUGUGUGUGUGUGUGUGUGUGUGUGUGUGUGUGUGUGUGUGUACUGGCUGUCCCCAGUAAGCAUGUGUGGAGGGUGAGGGAAGUCUUGCUCAAAGAAGUUGAGUCGUCUUCCCAGGAUCACACAGCUAGAGACAGGACUCCAGGCUGUAUGUCCUUAACACCUUUGCUUGUGCUGGCUUAUGUCUCUCCAGAGAAGACCCCAUGUGCCAUAGGUGACAGACAGUUCACUGACUUGCUCUCCACGUUCUCUCUGUACAGUGAGGCAGGCUCGCUCUCCCCAAGGCACUGCUUGGCAGGACUGUCAGGAUUGUUGCUUUUCCCUUUGAGUUUACCUAAGUUAACUGAGAUGCUUUUCCUGAGGAGGGGCUGCCUGCUCCAUCACAAACCUGUGCGUGUGUGUGCAGUGUGAGCCUGAUGCACCUGCUCAAUGGCUGGUGAGCUGCACACCCUCCCGGCUCGUGUGCUGGGUGGGCUAGGGCAGUCCUAGAGAUAGAGUGAUUUCGUAAAGUUUCUUUGUCAAGGCUUGAAGGGCCGUGGCAGCCUGUUUACCCCUUGAGCUGCUCACAGUAGAUGCUCAGAAGAAAGCUGUCUUCCUUGCAUCAAAUGGGCUUAGGCACCAGCACCAAGGGGAUGAGGAAUGGAUGGCCGUGGGGAUGCUCAGAGACUGUUUGUGGAAUGAACAAAUAAAAGCACACCCUUUUUGAGGAAAUUAAGAAACAGGGACAAGAAGAAACAUCCAGGGAAGGCAACAUAAAUCUCUAGCAGUGUUACCAACGCCACAGCUGGGUCCUCUGAAAAGACCCUGUGGAGGUGGUGGGGUCAUUUGUCAUGGGCAAGGACAGGCUUAAGGGCUGGGACAUGGGGCCUGAUGGAGGCUCGUCCAUCAUUUUCUCAUUAUCCCUUUGAUGUGGAGGGCAGCUAGCGGAUCACAGAACAGCAGCCUCCCAAGAAGGUGGCAGGACUGUGAGUGCGAGGGACCCCGAGGGAGGGCAGGCUGCCCCAGGCCCUGCCCCCUCCAGGAAGCCUUCUUGCUCCAGCCCAACACACGAUCUCACUUGUCCUCGGAUGUUCGUCAUGUGAUCUUUUACCAACGCAGCUGUGGAGGGGCCUUGAUAACGUGUUGCCAUGUGUCCCCGCGCUUGCCUAGGUUUGGUAUAGUGGAGACACUAUGAACACUUUCUGGAUUUGUCUUUUCAUUUUUAGGCAGGUGGUGCUGAAUUGGUCCUCCGGAGGGGAUGUUCAGGAACCCUGCCUACACUCCAUGCCAGCUGCCAGUCCUAGGUUGGGACAUUGCAUGGGAGAGCUGUGGCUAUUAACAGGUCCUGAGGCCUGACCUGAAGCCAUCAGUGGCCCAGCAGCUGCUCUACCUUUUGUUGCCUUUUCCUCCCUGGAUCUCCUGCUUAUGGGACAACAAAGCGACAACAAAGAUGUUUGGCCCCAGAAGAUGCUCCCCACAGCCCACCUGAAAGGACUAUCCUCGACCCAGUGGGAUGCAGUACCACUUCCCCUCCCCCUCCACGGCACCCUGUGCCAUCCACCUCUGAGUCCCCAACCUGUAGCCCCUGCUUCUCACCCAUGCCUCAACUCCCACCCCAAGCCUUGCAUUUCACAUCUGAGCAGCCCUUGCUUAGGAACCUGAGGUGGGUGGGGGUGGAUAGGCAGACCCAGGGUCUGAGCAGGGAGGGGCAGGAGAGAUUUCUGCUUGUGGCUUUCAAAGUCUCAGUGUGUAUAGCCCUUUGAAUAAUAAACAUAUAUCAUAAAAUGCAAA